CCAGAAAAAUAGGGAAUUCAAACCGAUAAAACACUGAAAGUGCAGACUCGAUCCAGAAUGUCGUUCAAAGCCUUCAGGAGGAGUGUCAUGGUUAAAUCCUAGCAAAAAGUUCAUCUUGAACUACAAACACCUCCACCGGAUUUCACAUCUGCAAAAAAGAUAAAGUUAAUUGCUGGUUUAGUUGGAGGUGGAACAACAUCAAAAAGCAAAUACCUUUGUUAGAUGAUACAACACUUCCACAACCAUGGAUGGAGCACAUUAAUAACCCAGAGGAAGAUAAUGAGCUAUGGCAAGGAGAAGGGAGCAAGAAACCUGGGAGCAAUGGAGAGUAGGAUUGGAAUUUAUGGGAAGCUCUAAUUUGGAAAUCCUAUUUUAGGGGAAGACUAGUACUUAGCUAGUCUUAAAUUUCCUAAUAUGGGCCAGUUGAACAUUUCUUAUCUUGGGUUUUUU
rnacentral:lncRNA from 1 species